AAGACUAUAGACCUGCGGAGUACCUGCGGAGGGAUCAUUAACGUAUCUAUGAUGGGGUGCGGAGCGCCCUGCUCCGGUCGAACGGCCGUGCAGCGGGUGCGCCGCCCCCGUCCCACCUCACAAACCCACUGUGAACAUCCACCGGUGGAGGGGGCUCGGUCUGCGCCGUGUCCCCGAUGCCGAAUACCCAAACUCCAGUUGCAAAGAACGUCGUGCGGACUCGGUGCCGCCUAAAACAUG
rnacentral:misc_RNA from 1 species